AAGAUGAUGAGGAUGAAGACCUUCAUGGUGAUCCACUUCCACUUAAUGAAUAGAAGAUCGUCCUGACUUUCCACAAUCCCGAAGGCUCUGCUUUGCCUUUCUGCAUCUAACUUUCCUGCCUUCUGCCUCCAUCUUCUACAAGCCCAGGCUUGGAAGCAGAAUCACAAGGAAAUUGCUGCAAUUCCACAGUACAGAAAAGCUUCAAAGGAAAGCCACAUCUCCCAGAUCUAGCGGUGGAGCCCGGUUGGCAGGAAAUGUUUCUCCAGAAGCUGAGAAGCUGCCUGGUAAAGGCCUUUCAUAAAAUGGUCUGUGUUUGGGACCAGGAAGACAGAAUACUCCUCAAGAAGAGAACUGGAACCUUAACCCACUUCAGACUUCUUCAUGUCUGAAGCUUAUUUCCACCAUCCCAUUGAGAACCAAAGAAGCGAGCUCCUUGGAGAAUUGGCUCCCACCUGGACCUUCUGUUUAUCCUUCCAAUAGCAGCUGCAUUCAUCCUUCCCAGCUAAUGACACUUCCAGUCUUUCGUGUUUCAAAGUAUCACGGACUUUGCAAAAGAUACCAGGUUUCUAUGGAGCAGAUAGUACUUUUAACAAUCGCCAUGUGCAUUAUUAUUUCCUCCUAAGGCAUACUUAGACAUCAGUGCAUGCUACAGCAAGGCAACUUAUCUCACCCUUACCAAGGUAUGAACUUCGGAAUUUGAACUUGUUCCUUUGGGGUAAGUUGUAUCACCAGCACUCACUAACAGACUGUAUUUUCCAGUGAGGUUUCAUUCUGUUUCAGAUAUUCUGCACUUUCAGUGACAAAAUUUUAAAGAAAAGGAGAUAAAAUAGAACACAAAUUCAAUAUGACUAUUGUCAUCCUUCCCUCCCAGGAAGUGUAGGAAUCAUCCAAAGUGGUAAAAGAGCAGCGCUUCUAAACUCUGGCUUCACAUGGAAAAUAACGCGACUACUAAAACUGAUAACAAUAGCAGUCCAUGCCGUUUGACAGGGGUGUGUAGGAGAGGUGGUGAGCAAGCUGAAAUCCCUUCAGGUAUUUGCAGAACUUCUGAGCAAAAGCUAAAGCUAAAAUUAACAUUAAAUAUGCAAAGUAUUUUUAACCCAACAUAAAUUAACAAUGUUCCUAUUUCAAUUCUAUUGCUCUUGGGAUGACUAUGUCCUUUGGAAAAUGUUUAAAUAACUUAAGAUUUCCGUCAUGAGUUUACUAUUUCAAAACUUAUUUUUUUAACUGCAAGAUACCUUUUUAUGUUACCAAGAGUGUUACCAGCUAGCUGCCAAAACUUGGUUGAAGUUCUCCCACUUUAUAUUGUAAAUGAUUACAUAGUUUAUUAGUAAUUGUGUCCCCUGUCCACCCACUGGUCCAUUUGGAUGGGAAAAUUUUCAAAAUAACUUCAUAGGAAAAUGAUAAGAAAAAUGUGGUCACCGGUAUCAUCAGGAACUUCCAGACAGCUCAGCACAGAAAAGUUGGUUUUAAAGUCAUCGAAAACGUUACUGGUAAUGAGCUUCCACUCCUUUAGAGUAGUCUUUGUCCAUAGAUACACCACAGAGUAAGGUUAUAAAAAUAAAAGUUGUUUCAGGAAAUUUCCCAUUGCUUUAUUACAUGAUCAAUGAGAGUAAAGAGAAAUGGAAGCUGAAGGGAUAGGAAUGAGGGACCUGCUGGGAGAGUGAUCACAAUAUCCAAAGGAAAUUUAAAAUGCCUGUUGAAAGUGACACACUGACUCAGCAUUGUCAAUAACACAGAAUCACCACAAUAAAACUGCCCUGCCUUGUGGCUCCUGGCACCUCCUGUCUCUUUAGGUUAAGCAGAGAGAGGCCUGUGUUGCUUUGGAACAAGGUGCAGCCUCCCCCUAAGCUACAGAGAGGCUCUGAGCAAGGACCAGCCCCCAGGGUGCAGCCUUGCCCACCCUCCACAGGCUCCAGAGCAAAUGGGGUGGCUCUAGAGAGCAAAUGGUCAAAACUUCUAGCGCUAAAUAGAGCUUUAACAUGUCUCAGAUACUAGCAAAAUAGAGAAGCCUCAGAUGGCUUUAGGUCUGGAAGUGUGUUGCUAAAAAUGCUAAAAAUUUAACAAACUUUUAUAAAUCCUUAAGAGAUCUUUUUCAGUUUUGUGAAGCACCAUUAAUUGCCCAUGUGUUUCAACUUGCAGACAGGCAAGAAUUUGGCUUUGUAUGUUUAAAAAUAUGUACAUCGUGGUUCAUAAUGAUGAUUUAUUUCCAAAAUGGUGACUCGUACUAGGAUUACAUAUAAAACAUCAUAUGUGGGCCUUAUAUGUAAUAAUGUAUAAGUAUAGUAUAUUCUGACAUAACAUGGGCAGAGAUUUGUAUUAAUUUAUUUCUAUUUCAUCUAAUCAAUAUUUUACUUAAGUCUAAAACCUUAUAUAUAUAUUGACUUAUGUAUCAUCACAUAUAUAAACUUUGUAUCUAUUGAACUGAGCAAUCUGUAGUUUAUUUUAAAUUCUGAUAUGUUAAA